UACGUAGGGGGCAAGCGUUAUCCGGAUUUACUGGGUGUAAAGGGAGCGCAGACGGCUGUGUAAGUCUGGCGUGAAACCCCGUGGCCCAACCACGGGCUUGCGCCGGAUACUGUGCAGCUGGGGUGCAGGAGGGGCAGGCGGAAUUCCUGGUGUAGCGGUGAAAUGCGCAGAUAUCAGGAGGAACACCGGCGGCGAAGGCGGCCUGCUGGACUGUAACCGACGUUGAGGCUCGAAGGCGUGGGGAGCAAAC
rnacentral:rRNA from 1 species